rnacentral:rRNA from 1 species
UGGGGAAUUUUGGACAAUGGGCGAAAGCCUGAUCCAGCAAUGCCGCGUGUGUGAAGAAGGCCUUCGGGUUGUAAAGCACUUUUGUCCGGAAAGAAAUCCUUGGCUCUAAUACAGUCGGGGGAUGACGGUACCGGAAGAAUAAGCACCGGCUAACUACGUGCCAGCAGCCGCGGUAAUACGUAGGGUGCAAGCGUUAAUCGGAAUUACUGGGCGUAAAGCGUGCGCAGGCGGUUUGCUAAGACCGAUGUGAAAUCCCCGGGCUCAACCUGGGAGCUGCAUUGGUGACUGGCAGGCUAGAGUAUGGCAGAGGGGGGUAGAAUUCCACGUGUAGCAGUGAAAUGCGUAGAGAUGUGGAGGAAUACCGAUGGCGAAGGCAGCCCCCUGGGCCAAUACUGACGCUCAUGCACGAAAGCGUGGGGAGCAAACAGGAUUAGAUACCCUGGUAGUCCACGCCCUAAACGAUGUCAACUAGUUGUUGGGGAUUCAUUUCCUUAGUAACGUAGCUAACGCGUGAAGUUGACCGCCUGGGGAGUACGGUCGCAAGAUUAAAACUCAAAGGAAUUGACGGGGUCAUAGCUGUUUCCU